rnacentral:misc_RNA from 1 species
AUCGUUCCUUGGUAUCCACGCACUUCGCGUACUUCUCUCUCCUCGGCACACGCCCGCGCCGGCCACUCGUCCCAGCUAUGCCUGCUGCCCCCACGCUCCCACCUGCCCUCCCCACCUCUCUGGACUAUCCACGCAUCAAGCUGCUUGCCAUCGGCGAUGUCGGCGUAGGCAAGAGCUGCCUCAUCAAGCGUUACUGCGAGGGCCGGUUUGUGGCCAAGUACAUCCCCACCAUCGGCAUCGACUUCGGCGUGAAAAAGGUGGAAGUGAGCAAAGCAGCCGUGCUACAGCAACGCCGCAGCGAGCCAUCACCGCCCGCGGAGACGGCACAGAGCGGCGGCGGCGCCUCCUCGGCCAUCCCCUCAGCGGUGCGAGUCAACUUCUGGGACGGCUCCGGUGAUGGCGACUAUCGAGAAAUCCUAAACGAGUUCUACGAAGCCGCCCAGGGCGUGCUGCUCAUGUACGAUGCCCGGAGCGCGCAGAGCUUCACCGCCCUGCAAGACUGGUGGGAAGAGCUCACCAUGUACUGCCAAGGAAUGCCAGCAGCAAGCGGCGGUGGUGGUGAAGGCAGCGACCCUGCUCUGGCCGGUAGCGCGGCCGGCGCCGGUGGAAAGCGAGCGUCCGCCUCCAGCACAGUAACGAGCGGCACCGCCGCUGGAAAAGCCGUCGGGCGCACCGACGGCAGGGCGCCGAUUGUGGUGCUUUGCGCGAACAAAGUCGAUGACACGGCGGUUCCCGGGGCAGCUGCGCCGCGGCCGCGGGCUGUGAGCGAGGCGCAAGGACGUGCGUGGGCACGCGAGCACGGCUGUGCGGCCUACUACGAGACGAGCGCCAGCACAGGGCAAAAUGUGAAGGAGGCCAUCGAGGACUUGGUGGUGCGGAUGGUGGCCAAGUUCAUGUGAUGGUGCUUGCCGUCGCUGGCGUUUCCUGCGAGCUGUUGCACGUUGAUUUUGAUGCGUAUGGCACGGCAUCGCAGGUUGGAUGCGUAGCGAAGCACGCAUACGCGUGCGCCGGUAAGGCGGAAGAGUUCGGCGGCAGCUCCGCCGGCCUUCCUCUGCACCACCGUCAUCCCUCUACAUUCUUAGAUUGCGCGCGCAAGCGUGUGUGUGUGUGUGUGUGUGUGUGUGUGUGUGUGUGUGGCACGCAAAAAAGGCUACUUUGCAUCGGAUAGAAGCUCCUAGAAGGCGUUGGGUGGCGUAGAGCUCGAUGGCGAAGAAAGAAACAAAGACAAGGCAGCUGCGCAAGGGAGGGAAGAGAAAACAAUGGGAGGAGCGGGGGGAGAGGGUGCUCGUAGGCGGUGAGGGAGCAGUACCAGGCGGGCAGCGACUGGGUGGGUAUGUGCGUUCGUGUCACCACGUACGCCUCGCUGUCUCUCUUCUCACCGUGUCGGCAGCGGCCCCGUCCACAGCUACCACUGGCCGACUGCACACACGCACACACACACACACACGUUGUUGUCGCCGUCGCGCUUAUUCUCUCGCCACCCUUCCUCCAUCCCUCCUCAUGGGCGCCGGCGAACGCGAUUGUGGUGAUCAUCGUGUGCGGCGGGCUCGGCGCUGCUGCGCUCAUUCCUUUGUAUAUGAAACACACGCACAUCCACAGUUGAUUUCUCUUCCGCCUCACGUCUCUCCUCCGCUGCCAUCUCCGGCCACGGCAACACCGCCCUCACCCAUCACUCUCGAAUCCUUCCUCCUCUUCGGCGCAUCAG